rnacentral:lncRNA from 1 species
UUUUGAUGAGGAUUUUUAGGCUGCUUAAUUUUAAAAUGGCUUAUGAUGAGGAUUUUUAGGCUGGUUAGUUUUAAAACUACAGAUGAGAUUCAGGCUCCAAGGAGUGGAAUUUGUUUGCCCCUUUGUUGGGAACAUUUACAUUUCUAAGGGAAACCUCUAUCUGUGAAGAUGCCUCCCUCUCUGUGCCAGGAAGAAGGGGGGAUGGUCUUAUCUCUAGAAGCUCUUAAUCAAUGCCAGAGGCAAGAACUUAAGUUGGUUGCUGUCUGGCAAUCUCAUGUAACUGGUUUAGGGUGGUGGCGUCUAACCUUUCUAACCUUUACUUAAUCCGAUUUGAUUCUUGUCUAAAAGUCAUGGGAUCACCCAAUGACCAGACCCCACCUGCACUGAUACCAUUUUAACUUUUUUUCAUGUUCUUUCCUUUGUCUUGUAAAGAGAUGAAUCAUAUACCUAUGCCUUAAAUUUAGCCCUAACCCUCAACUCGGGGCAGCAGCAGGAGCUCUGACUGCCCGUGGGUCUUGUCCCCACGCACCAGCUCUGCCUGCCCAUGGGUCCUGUCCCCAUGCCAGCGGGGGCAGCAGCAGCAGCUCUGCCUGCCCAUGGGUCCUGUCCCCACACACCAGCUCUGCCUGUCCAUGGGUCCUGUCCCCAUGCCAGCGGGGGCAGCAGAGGCAGCAGCAGGAGCUCUGACUGCCCGUGGGUCCUGUCCCCACACAUCAGCUCUGCCUGCCCAUGGGUCCUGUCCCCACACACCAGCUCUGCCUGCCCAUGGGUCCUGUCCCCACACACCAGCUCUGCCUGCCCAUGGGUCCUGUCCCCAUGCUAUUCCACACUAUUCUCUAAAUAAAAGAGCACUACUGCCAGAUCUUAAGAGUCUAAGAAAUCUUUCUUUCAACUCCUCGGCUCACCGACCCCGCAUCAAAUUUGACUACGGUAGGCGCCUCCUAUAAGUGCAAUCAUACAGUAUUUGCCGUCUUUUGUGACUGGCUUAUUUCAUUCAGCACAACGUCCUCAAGGUUUAUCCAUGUGAUAGUUUGUGUCAGAAUUUCCUUCAUUUUAAAGCGGAGUAAUAUUCCCUUACAUGUAUAUACCACGUUUUCCUUGUCCAUUCACCUGUCGAUGAACACUUGGGUUGCUUUUACUUUUUGGCUAUUGUGAAUAAUGCUGUUAUGAACGUAGUGGUACAAAUAUCUCUUUGAGAUUCUGCUUCUAAUUCUUUUGGACAUGUACCCAGAAGAGGAAUUGCUGGAUCAUAUGGUAAUUCUACUUUUAAUUUUUUGAGGAAUUGCCAUACUAUUUUCCACAGCAGCUGCACCAUUUUAUAUUCCCACUACGCAGCAGUGCACGACGGUUCCAAUUUCUCUCUAUCCUUGCCAAUAUUCAGUUUGUUCUUUUGAUUGUAGCCAUCCUAAUGGGUGUGAGGUGGUAUGCCACUGUGAUUUUGAUUUGUAUUUAUCUUAUGAUUGACAGUC